ensembl:ncRNA asRNA:CR45714 antisense RNA:CR45714
AACACUUUUGAUGGGAAACACCAUCCGAUCCGUUCAAACUAAAUUUAUUGCAGAUCAAAUGACGCCUCAGAAACGAUUCGACGGCCACACGAUACCCUCGAUAUAGUCGAGAAAGGAGGAGACGCGUGUGUAGAGGCCCGGGGUCUUGGUGGCGCAGCCGAAGCCCGAGGAGAUUACGCCUACGAUCGAGUAGGUGCCGUCGACGUCGUCAAUCUCCAGGAUGAGAGGUCCACCGGAAUCGCCCUGACAGGCGUCCUUUCGCUGAUUCUUGUCCGCCGCGCACAGCUGCGAGGCAAUCACGCCCCUUCUCAACGUCCGGUUGGCACUCGGCUGUUCCGCAAAGGAUGCAUUGCACUCGUCGGCCGGCACCAGAUCCAGAGCCGCCCGCAGCAGGAUCUUUGAUACGGCACGAUCUGUAAAGACACCAUCGAACACAAUCCAAUCCUGCAGUUUACGCACACACAACUUACUGGUCACAUUCAUUACACCCCAACCGGCGACGAAAUAUUUGUAGUUCGCUGGCGGAUCACUGCGAUCCGUGUAGAGACAGGCGGGACGGAUGACAUCGGACUCCUUGGCAUCCUCGGCCAGCUGCAGAAUGGCGAUAUCGUAGUACUUACUACUGCCGGAAUAGUCCGGAUGAAUUUGAACAUCAAUCUGCCAAUGGAAGUGAGUGAGUUCAACUGGUUAUCUCGCACCAUGUGUCACAUGGCGAUACCAACCACAUUGAUGUCCUGGUAGCCCGGCUCGGGAUUUUCGAUGUUCAACGCACCCAGACGGACGAAACUGGGUGUGCUAUCGUCACUAUUGACGCAGUGAGCCGCUGUGAGGACGAAUCGACUGGCGAUGAGCGAUCCACCACAUCGGAACGCUGCGCUCCCGAAGGAGUUGUACGCAAUGGCCGCCAUGUGGGGAUAGACGCCCCUAUCCACCCGUUCGCCGUCCAGAAUGUGCACCGUCAGGGGCUUUCCACCGGAUCGGAUCUUCUCACACGCUAUCAUCAGAUGAUAGGAAAUUUAAUAUAUAUUGUAUAUAAUAUAUCUCCAAAGAUAUUUUCAUAU